AUUGAACGCUGGCGGCAGGCCUAACACAUGCAAGUCGACCGAGCGGCGGACGGGUGAGUAAUGUCUGGGAAACUGCCUGAUGGAGGGGGAUAACUACUGGAAACGGUAGCUAAUACCGCAUACCAUCGGAUGUGCCCAGAUGGGAUUAGCUAGUAGGUGGGUUAACGGCUCACCUAGGCGACGAUCCCUAGCUGGUCUGAGAGGAUGACCAGCCACACUGGAACGGAGACACGGUCCAGACUACGACGGGAGGCAGCAGUGGGGAAUAGUGCACAAUGGGCGCAAGCCUGAUGCAGCCAGGCCGCGGGUAUGAAGAAGGCCUUCGGGUUGUAAAGGACUUUCAGCGAGGAGGCGUUACUCGCAGAAGAAGCACCGGCUAACUCCGUGCCAGCAGCCGCGGUAAUAC
rnacentral:rRNA from 1 species